rnacentral:tRNA from 2 species
GGGCGAUUAGCUCAGUUGGCUAGAGCACCUCCCUUACAAGGAGGGGGUCACAGGUUCGAGUCCUGUAUCGCCCACCA